GCCAAGAUGACCGAGAGGCGAGGUGUGUGGCUGCAGACCAUAUCACAGGGGUUCAAAUCCCUUUCUUGGCU
rnacentral:tRNA from 3 species